rnacentral:rRNA from 1 species
GUGCCAGCCGCCGCGGUAAUACGUAGGGGGCAAGCGUUGUCCGGAUUUACUGGGCGUAAAGAGCGUGUAGGCGGCCACGCAGGUCCGUUGUGAAAACUGGAGGCUCAACCUUCAGACGUCGACGGAAACCGUAUGGCUAGAGUCCGGAAGAGGAGAGUGGAAUUCCUGGUGUAGCGGUGAAAUGCGCAGAUAUCAGGAAGAACACCCGUGGCGAAGGCGGCUCUCUGGGACGGUACUGACGCUGAGACGCGAAAGCGUGGGGAGCGAACAGGAUUAGAUACCGUGUAGUCC